rnacentral:rRNA from 1 species
UUGAGCGAUUUACUUCGGUAAGAGCGGCGGACGGGUGAGUAACGCGUGGGUAACCUACCCUGUACACACGGAUAACAUACCGAAAGGUAUGCUAAUACGGGAUAAUAUAUUUGAGAGGCAUCUCUUGAAUAUCAAAGGUGAGCCAGUACAGGAUGGACCCGCGUCUGAUUAGCUAGUUGGUAAGGUAACGGCUUACCAAGGCGACGAUCAGUAGCCGACCUGAGAGGGUGAUCGGCCACAUUGGAACUGAGACACGGUCCAAACUCCUACGGGAGGCAGCAGUGGGGAAUAUUGCACAAUGGGCGAAAGCCUGAUGCAGCAACGCCGCGUGAGUGAUGAAGGCCUUCGGGUCGUAAAACUCUGUCCUCAAGGAAGAUAAUGACGGUACUUGAGGAGGAAGCCCCGGCUAACUACGUGCCAGCAGCCGCGGUAAUACGUAGGGGGCUAGCGUUAUCCGGAUUUACUGGGCGUAAAGGGUGCGUAGGCGGUCUUUCAAGUCAGGAGUGAAAGGCUACGGCUCAACCGUAGUAAGCUCUUGAAACUGGGAGACUUGAGUGCAGGAGAGGAGAGUGGAAUUCCUAGUGUAGCGGUGAAAUGCGUAGAUAUUAGGAGGAACACCAGUUGCGAAGGCGGCUCUCUGGACUGUAACUG